UGGGGAAUAUUGGACAAUGGGGGCAACCCUGAUCCAGCAAUGCCGCGUGUGUGAAGAAGGCCUUCGGGUUGUAAAGCACUUUAGGCGGGGAAGAAGAUUACUCUUUUAAGAGAUAGGUAAUUUGACGGUACCCGCAGAAUAAGCACCGGCUAACUCUGUGCCAGCAGCCGCGGUAAUACAGAGGGUGCAAGCGUUAAUCGGAAUUACUGGGCGUAAAGGGCGCGUAGGUGGUUAUGUAAGUGAGUGGUGAAAUCCCCGGGCUUAACCUGGGAAUUGCCACUUAAACUGCAUAGCUUGAGUGCAAUAGAGGGUAGUGGAAUUUCCGGUGUAGCGGUGAAAUGCGUAGAUAUCGGAAGGAACACCAGUGGCGAAGGCGGCUACCUGGAUUGACACUGACACUGAGGCGCGAGAGCGUGGGGAGCAAACAGG
rnacentral:rRNA from 1 species